CGCAUAUGUUCAUUUAUAUGUUAGAGAUUAUAGUUUUCACCCUUCAUUUAGUUUCCAAUACUCUUGGGUAGCAAGGGUGCAUAAAUCUACUUGAACAACCAAUUACCUUCCAGUUAAUUAUCAUAGGGAUAGUUAGAAGAAACAAACAUUUAUUCCUAUUACAAAGAAUCACACAAGAGUCAGUUCAUUCAUGAGUCUAUACCAAUACCUUACAUGAUACAUGAGUACACUUACUUAGGAUUACAUGAUACAUGAAUAUGUUUACAUAUACUUACCUGUUACAUGAACACACUUACAUGAAUACCAUACAGGAACACUUUUACAUAGGUGCAUUAUCCUGUAUUUACUUACCUGGAUACUUGUACUUAGAACUACGAGGAUGAUUUAUUAGUACUUACUGUGUAAAUUAUCUUUCCUAUCCCAGUUCAAUGGGAUAAUUCGGCGGGACUUACCAUUCCGAACCCCACUGAUUAGCACCAGUGGUCGAUGAACGUCUACGGAUGUCUAAGGUUGUUACUUAUUUAGUAGUCAGUGACGGGACUAACCAUCCCUCUGUCCACUGUUGCAACAGUGGAUGAGAUGUGAAUCUUCGGAGGAUCAUUAGGUUAGCGAUCUGUAUUAAGAGAUCGAUAUCGGGACUAACCCUCCCUCCACCCUGCUGCCGCUACAGAGGAUGAGGGGACACUCUUCGGAUGUCCAUAGGGUCUAUCUUUCGCUUCGGCGAUGUCGUGUUUGUCCUGGUAACCCAAGACAAUAACACUUACAUGAUUAUAUUUUUCCUGUUUACUUUAUUUUGUGAUACUUUCACAUAAACGAGGAGUUAGACUAAGUACUCUAGUACUAGUCAAUAGAAAGGAAAAGCUAUCAUAUUACUUACAAAACAUUCGGGUCUUGGUAGAAGACUACAUUGUCAUAACAAAACAUUCGGGUCUUGGUAGAAGACUACAUUGUCAUAACAAAACAUUCGGGUCUUGGUAGAAGACUACAUUGUCAUAACAAAACAUUCGGGUCUUGGUAGAAGACUACAUUGUCAUAACAAAACAUUCGGGUCUUGGUAGAAGACUACAUUGUCAUAACAAAACAUUCGGGUCUUGGUAGAAGACUACAUUGUCAUAACAAAACAUUCGGGUCUUGGUAGAAGACUACAUUUCAUACUUAUAGAAAAUAAGGGUUUUUCUAGGGAUUUCAUACUUACCUCAACAUUUUCAUUUAAAGGUUUACAUGGCCUUCAUAACAGAUUUUCAUAAGCAAGACAACGACACUUAAUUUCUUAUGAAUUCACCAGCUUUAAAGUUGAUACUCGCUUUCAAAAUAACUUGUAUUCUCAGGUCAUCAGUUAGACAGGUGCGAUGGCCAGGUUUUUGAGAAGAUGGAGCACAGACAAGACUCGCCUUAUUUUGAUUAUUCAUUUUAUUGUUGUACAUAAUGAAAGAACACACAUGUAUUAAAACUUUACUUAUAAUGCAAUGGAUGAUGUUGUUGCUUGUUUAUUAUAUUACACUGUUGUGAUACUGUACAUGACGUCCUCCACCCCUGAACGUUUCCGCCGUUCGUGGUUUUGGGGUGUGACAGAUUGGUAUCAGAGCAUUGUUUAUAGUGAAUUAAGUAUAUCAACCCAUAAAAGAUAUACUAACUAUAAAUACAUGGGAUUAAAACACUCUGUCUUAGAGAAUAUACUUUUAAAUAAUAAAAUAUUUAACAAAGUAUACGUGCCUGCAUUCAUACUAAAAUCAGUGUCACAAUGACAAGAACAAAAGUAUUACGAUUGUUGAAUAUCACAGGUAAGCUUGGGGAUGUAUGGUCAGUCUUGGGAGUGGCAUAGCCUGAUCAACUAUGCUGUUCCAAAGAGUGAUUAGCACCUGCCCAAGAAUGGUUGUGAUAGGGCAACAAAUCUAAAAACUUACCAACAUUACCACAAUGAGAACAUUAUAACAGAACCUAAGUCUGAAAUACCAUAUGGGUGUUUUGUGUUACUAUAAGUACUUUAUACUUGAGAACUAAAAUGGAAUCUUCAUUCCUAAGUUGAUAAUUGCUAAGUGGAUACGCUAAACUUAUAUGUAACUAGGAUGUUAUAGACUUAGAAUCGGUGAAAUUUUUGCUUUACCCCUAUUCCUUGUGAAUUUGGAGUUGAGGUCACUUAUUCGAAGGCCUAUCCUGUGUUGAUUACAUAUAACUGGUAUGCACUUUACAAAUAGCGAUGGAACUAAUGAAGAUUUCCUAUUUAAUUAUCUAGAUAGUUCAUCUAAUAAUUAUUUUCUUACCCCAAAUUCUCGCGUAGAUAACAUGGCUGGAUUCCAUCCCCACGACAACCUGUUCCUUCCGAACGCGAUUAUUGAUGGACGAUUUGGAGAAGAGCAAGUUAAUGAUCAUCCAAUCCCUCUGAAUGAUCACCAUGCUGAAGACCUUUCAGACAAUUCCAUCUCCGAACCCGAGGUUGAGGACCUACCCUAGAUAACUCCCUUUCCAAUUCCUAACCCUCGUCCGGCUUUUCAAGGCCCGACACCUGAGUGGGUGGAAUGUGUGGAAACAUGGAGCCAAGGACAAGAUCAGCCCAUGUCAUUUAAUGGUGACCGAACCUUCUAUGAACUGAGCAAUGGGGGCUCAGCAGACAGAAGCAUGCCAAUUCUGAUCCGAAGAGUUGCCCGAAACGAAAUUCAGGGCAGGACAUCUCUACAACGUAUCAUAGAAGUUGAUACAAAUGGAGGAAUGAAUAUGCUUCACACCAGUCACCUUGAACAAUGAAUAGGGAGGUCUGAAAGAGACCUGAACAUGCUCGUGAGAGAUCCGAAAGAGACCAUGAAACCCUGCUGCAAGCACUGGUUGAAUCACGAGCCGAAGUCAUGGAACUUCGGGUACGCUAGAGAGUGUACGAAAGACACCUACUUGAUGUGGAACGCCAACUGGCUGAACUGAGAGUUCACCAGAGGGAUGACCGUCGCCAGUAGUAGAUGCGUUACGUUAUAUUCCUUGUUAGAAAGGAAUCGUGUUCCUGUCUAUGCCCGAUGUGGCAUUUUCUAUGAAACUAUCUUGUACUGUAAGUACUUUAGUUAGGUCUUUUUACUGUAAGGAACCAUCUUCUCUGGUUAUGAUGUAAGACCUUUUACAAGGUCAUUUUCCCGAACUUGUACGUCAUAAAUAUCAAAGAUAUUGACAGUCGGCUAACUUUUGUGUCGUUCUUUAUUUGAAUACUCUUAUCAUACUUUCAUUAGAGUCUAUUUGAAACAUGCUCUAGUCAAGUCAUUGGACUAUAGCAAUUUGACUCCGGAGACAUCUCCGAGUCUCUUCUAAUGGUUGGAUCACGUUAUUCGCCAACCAUUGAUACCUCGGCUAGAACGACAAACAUCUUGAGACCAUUGCAUGAACUUACUUCCGAUCUUUGCUAGGACUGCAUCAUAGGGAUGUAGGUCAAACCUUCGUGAACAUACUUCCAUUCCAUACUAGGACUGCAUCAUAGGGAUGUAGGUCGAACCUUAGAGAACAUACUUCUAUUCUUUACAUGAGCGAUCGAACUACGUUUAGAUUCAACCAUUUUCGCUCACAAAUUCGUUUCCUUCCGUGUAACAGAAUCAUGUCAUCCAAGAAAGACGAUCAGCCCAUCAACCAAACGCCAACUCUUCAGAUUGAUGCAGCUACCUUUCAAGCUGCAGUCUCGGCUGCCGUGUCAGCUAUUCUGACCCACCUGAACGCUAACGACGCAAGUGUUAGCGGGAUUGUUAACAAUCAUUCCAAUCCAAGUAACAAACGGAAGUCUUGGAAUAAACCUAAGGACAAGUCGCUUCGAAGGGCGAACAGGAAACAACCACCAGUAACAACCUUCACAGCUACGACAUCAGUACCUCCUACUACCAUCCCUUCGGGCGUCCCAAUGGUCCCCAAACCAGCCAAACUUUAUGCUGGAAGUCUCCCAAAAUGCAUUAAAUGCAGUUUUCACCACCAUGGACCUUGUAGGGAGAUGCAGUGCUCACACUGCAACAGGAAGGGGCAUACAGCCCGUUACUGCAAGACUCCAACAGCUCAGCCUGCCCAAGUGCCAAACACCAGUGUGAACCAAACUUGCUACGGUUGUGGCAAGGUAGGUCAUUACAAAAGGAACUGCCCAAAGGCAGCAAAUGCUGGCACACACGGCAGUAUGCUACCGACCACCGCCGCAGGAGAGUCUACUCCGGACCCACGUUAUUAUAAUUUAGGCCUUUCGUUGUAACAGACUUAUGAACCAUCCCAAAACUAGUGCAACCAGAGUCUUAUCUUUUGCGGGAUCCCGUCCGUUUUGGGAUGCUCGUGCUGCGUAUACUUGUCUUUUGUAGUAGACCUAGUUCGCAACAAUAGUCUUGUAGUAAAUCCUAAGUACGUAACUCNUGUUAAUGGUUGCACUGUUGUGUUUUGUCUGUAACGCCUUAUGUUCAAAUCUAAUGUCUUUAGUUUCCAUAUGUUUCCGACUUUAUCAUACGACUCGAGUAAAUUUGAUCCUCGAAAUACCAGCUCCAUAAGUACAUCUCUUUCUCAGAAAUCGUCUUUUAGCAAAGCCGUUAUAUCAGAAUACCAAAGUCCUCAUACAAGGAGUACCUUAUAGUUCUUUUCCUUUCCAAAUGAAUCCCCACUGUAUUACUCGUGCAGUACGUCAAGUUCAAUUCCAUGAUUCUUACGGUUAAUCUAUCACUGAAGAAUGUAUACAUGAGAGUGAUAUAUAAUCAAUGUUCUACAGGUUUAGAAUUGAUGAUUCCACUUUAACUUCUUUUCCCUCGAUGGGAUGUGAGAUUAAGGAAGAAUCAGUUAUUCGACUACCUUUUCAGUCUUAAUUAUAUACGACUCGUAUACACGAAAUUGUGAUCAUUGAAUCACGUAUGAAUUCUAAUAUGAACUUCAGGACGGAGACUGUCCAGGAGUACGAGUAAUUGCAUUGGCAUAGGAACAAACUUAGAACCCAGUAUGACUCUUAUAACCAGAUCGCCUUACAGUCUAAACACCUACGGAAGAUACAAGAACAGCCCGGACAACACAGCGAACUACUCAACAAUAGAAUUAGAAGACCAGGCUUCUCACCCUUGAGAGCUCCGGUCUUAUUCUUACCAGAAGUCGACGGAGUGCAUUUUAUGUACCUCGACGACCGGAGACUUCAUUUAGAUUUUCUUUAGAAAUCGUUGUCUCUGCCUCGCAUAGACGAAUUGAUCGGGCAAACGCAGGGAAAAAAUUUCUUCAGAAAUGGACCUGAGAUUCGAAUAUCACCAGUUCGAGUGUUAGGGAAGGAUGUCCUAAAGACUACCCUCCGAACUCAAUGCGGACACUUCGAGUCCGUAGUGAUACCCCUCGGAUAGGACCAAUACGCCCAUAGUAUUCAUGAGCUGAAUAAGUAGAGUACGCCUUUCUUACUAGGAUCAGAUCGUCAUUUCUCCAUAUAAUGACUACUUAUCUACCCUCGUAGUAAGAAAGAACCCAUAGAAACAUUACCCUCGGAGAUACUUUCCGCAAAGUUCUCUGAACAAGAGUUUUGGAAUUUAGAGUCAAAUUUCCUGAGACACACUUUUAGUGUUGUGGAAAUUCUUGAGUACUCUGUCAAAUUAUCCAAAACCGUUGGGAAUUUGUCGGCACCAUAGUCACCGACGGAAAAUUCGCCAAAUUCUAGGUCUUACAGACCUACUAUCAUAGUCCAUUCGGAACUCCCCGUAAACUUCAGGAACCCUUUCGACUUUGACCCAGCAAGGGAUGGCCCUUGACUGGGAAGUAAGCGAGAGAAAGAACAUUUGGAAUUCCAAGUGAGAGACCAAAUUCUUUAGGAAACCUCACUCUGGGAACGGCUUAAUACGCUUCGUAAAGCGUGGAAAGCUAAAAUCCAAUAUAGUUAGGACCUCCGAGAUUCUUACCAGAAUCGGUCCUGCAUUUCACAAACUAGACCUACUCCGCGAACUCAGUAACGUACAUUUUCCCCUUCGCGUCUCGAACUUGAAACAGUAUCCUUCCAUUAGGACUUUCGUAAUCCCUCUCGACGAGAUCGAGAUUUACGAGAUCCUUGCCUUCGUAUUAGAACCGUAGUGACCCUCGACCGAGUGGCCAAGCGGACGAAGCAACGCCGUCGCCCAUUAGUGAAGGUUCGUUGGAAUACCAACUGAGAACCCGAUUUCACUUGGGAGCGCGAGAGCAAAUCGAUUAGGAAGUUUUCACCUAACGACUCGAUCAUUUAUACCUACUUCCUUAUCUAAAUUCUAAUUUCGGGACGAAAUUCCCUUUAACAGGGGGAUGAUGUGACAACCCGAAAUUUCCAUUCUGAACAAACCAUAUCAAGACAAUAGAGCUUAGAACAGUUUCAGUGAAAUUCCAGACUUCGGGUAUAAGUUUGGCAGUUUUUCAGGAUUUACACUUAAGGAGAUAUCAGGAGAGUGGUUGCACUAGGGUUUUGUGCAACACUGUUAUUCCAACACUCGGUUAUAUUAGAAAUCAUUUCGGGAAUAAAAAUAUUUUCUGCCAAAAAUAUCUCAGGACUAUAAAUAGAAUUCUGAACCAAAUUAUGUCAUUAUUCGCAUUUCCAACUAGAGAAAAGCCAUUUUCUCUCUCACGGAUCUUCGGGUUUUUAUCCCAAAUCGUGAGUACACUUCUCUAGUUGUCUUAUAAUGCUUAUUAUGUGCUUAAUAACUUAGAUUACAUAUCAAAUUUGUGAGAUUCAGGAGUUUACCGCCCACGAACGUUCAUGGAGAGUAAACUCCUAUAUGUGGCUUAAAUGCUACCUAGUCUUUUCCCCAUGUUAGGUAACUACCUUACGCUUGUAUAUAAGUGUGUUUGAGACUAUAAAACAAAGAAAACCCAAAGAUUCGGGAGUUUAACGCCCAAGAACACUUGGGGAGUAAACUCCAUUUUAAGGGCUAAAGGUGUUCCAAAGUCCCUCAAAGCCUUUGAUCUCAAACUAGAAGCCUACAUUACAUGUUUAGACCACCAAAUCAAUUAAUAUUCAAGGGAGAAAGAGAGUUCACGGCCCAAAAGGUUCUAGGGCCGUGAACUCCAAUAAAUGGUGCUAAAUGGUGCCAUAAUUCCUCCUAAAGCCUUGAACAAUUGCCUAGAACCUAUACCACAUGAGCAAGAGACUUGAAAGCAUCAAAAACACCCAUACUUAAGAGUUUACGGCCGCAAACUCUAAGGGAAAUGGCCUUAGGGCGGUAAACUCCUAAAUGGAGUGUUUCUAUGCCAUAAGAAUUUAACCACCAAGUUGGAAUAAUUCUAGGAAUCAUUUGGAACUUCAAAACACCCCAAACACCCAUGGUUGGGAGUUUAUGGCCGUAAACUCAAGAGUUUACAACCGUAAACUCCAUGUGUGAUGGUAUAUGAGGAGUAAACUCAUAUAUGGGGUCCUUUGGAACCCUAAACACAAGUUCCUUGUCCUACAAUAGCUUAGAUGCAACCCUAAGGGCUUAAAACACUUAUAUAAAGUGUUUAUUUUGUCUAGGAUGUCUUAACAUUAUUAAUUAGUGAUUUGAGACUAAUUGAGUGCAUAUAUGUGUCAAUAUAUGUUCAUUAGGAUCGUAGUGUGUGUACAAGUCCUCACUUGACACCUAGCAAUCCUACGCCAUCCAGUUCAUCCGAAGUACCAACAACAGGUGAGUUCAUACCCCUUAAUCAAUGUUUUGAACGAUUUUAAAUGCUUUAAAUUGGGGGGUGGGGGGGAAUACAAGUUGAAAACAGUAUGUUAUUAAAUCAAUCUUAUGUAUUUUAUAAUUGUGUUUUCACUCAAUAGAUUUUACAUAUUUCAAAAGGUGUCACAUGAAAUGGUUUUCUAUCUUAAAAUACCUUGAUAACAAAAGUGUUAGUUUUGAAAUGUUUAUUAAAAUGACAUCAAGUCACUCUUAAUUAUUGUUCAAAACUCCUAGAUAUCUUGCAAAACCAUUAUUUUACCUUCUUGAAUCAAACUAUACUUAUGUGCAUAUGUUCAUUUAUAUGUUAGAGAUUAUAGUUUUCACCUUUCAUUUAGUUUCCAAUACUCUUGGGUAGCAAGGGUGCAUAAAUCUACUUGAACAACCAAUUACCUUCCAGUUAGCUAUCAUAGGGAUAGUUAGAAGAUAUCAAACAUUAUUACUAUUACAAGGAAUCACACAAUAGUCAGUUCAUUCAUGAGUCUAUACCAAUACCUUACAUGAUACAUGUGUACACUUACUUAGGAUUACCUGAUACAUGAAUAUGUUUACAUAUACUUACCUGUUACAUGAACACACUUACAUGAAUACCAUACAGGAAGACUGUUACUUAGGUGCAUUAUCCUGUAUUUACUUACCUGGAUACUUGUACUUAGAACUACGAUGAUGAUUUAUUAGUAUUUACUGUGUAAAUUAUCUUUCCUAUCCCAGUUCAAUGGGAUAAUUCGGUGGGACUUACCAUUCCGAAUCCCACUGAUUAGCACCAGUGGUCGAUGAACGUCUACGGAUGUCUAAGGUUGUCACUUAUUUAGUAGUCAGUGACGGGACUAACCAUCCCUC
rnacentral:lncRNA from 1 species